CAGUCACUGUGUUCAGGAAGCCAGUGUGGCCAAUGUGGUUGGUCUUCAGUUUGCAGUUGGCCAGGUUCCACACCUAGAAGCAAAAGGAGAGAAGACUGUUUUACACCUAAGAUCCUCCAAAAUGUUACACACUGGACCUUUAAACCUAACAGCUAAUAACAAGGGAGUCUGCCACAAACAUACCUUGACCAUCUUGUCCCAGCCGCAGGAGACAAUGAUGGGGUUGCUGCUGUUAGGGGAGAAGCGAACGCA